AUUGAAGAUGGGAAGCAGCCCCUCCAAUUCGAGUGGGAUAAACAGAGCGAAAGGUUAUGAAUGGAGUGGAAAGAUAAAGUUUAUAUGUUACCUUGACUUAGAUGACGAAGACCAAGUACAUAUUGCGUUGAAACACAUAAACAACGAUGAUAUAAGCAGUGUGUCUAUUUACACCACACCUCUGAGCGAACAUCAAUGGUCACACUUGACAUUUUACCAUGCCUAUGUAGUAUUGAGCACGCGGACAGAUACAGAAACAUACUGGUGGUCUCUCGAGAAGAAUGGAGAGGCAUUGAUUGUUCAGAUGAGCAGAAAUAUUGAAGAUGUGAGAGAUAAAAUUGAGGGAAAAAGGCGCAUUGAGAAGUACCCUAACUACUGGAAACCCUUACUUAACACUAGCGACUCCAGCUGUAUUAGCUUCAGGGCAUUGUACGAGUAUAUAAUAGUGGACACAGACCAAUUGAAUUUGAAAUAUAAUUACUCAGAUGGGAAUUGUAAGAAAUUUGCAAAGACUGUUUUUGACAAGAUCGCCCGAAACAAAACCUGGUACUAUUUUAUUUGACUGAUUCAACAUCAUAAUCUAGCUUUUGUUUAAAAACACCCAUCGAUUUCACUAACAUAUUAUGAAUGUUACAGAUGAACGAUUUUAUACCAUGAAUAUUGUACAACAUAUUUUCUUAAAGAGUUGGUACGACAAUUCCCCGUUUAAUUUUUUAAUUCAAAACCAUUAUAUAUUGACAGUAACACAAUAUUUACAGUGACACAAUCUUUUGUAAUAUUACGAACAUUAUUUUUAUUCGUUAA